rnacentral:rRNA from 1 species
UACGUAGGGUGCAAGCGUUUGUCCGGAAUUAUUGGGCGUAAAGAGCUCGUAGGCGGUCUGUCGCGUCUGCUGUGAAAACUCGGGGCUUAACCCCGGGCCUGCAGUGGGUACGGGCAGACUAGAGUGCGGUAGGGGAGACUGGAAUUCCUGGUGUAGCGGUGAAAUGCGCAGAUAUCAGGAGGAACACCGGUGGCGAAGGCGGGUCUCUGGGCCGUAACUGACGCUGGAGGAGCGAAAGCGUGGGGAGCGAACAGG